rnacentral:lncRNA from 1 species
ACAACUGCAUUGACGUGGCAGGUCUACGGCAGCUAUGUUCUUCCAUGCUAAACAUUUGUUUACUUUUCACAGCCAUGAAAGAUGCAGAAGCAUUUCCAUAAAUGGAGUCUACGGAGCACCAGCAAUAGCCAUGAGGCAUUACGGCAGCUUGGUGUGCAAGCAAAGUAUGCUGACAGUCCGACAGAGGCACCAAGAAAAAUGGGACAGCACUUUGAGCAGCAACUGCACACCUGUAUCAGCCCAAUUCAGCUCUACAGAACGUGAGCAUGCAUGUUGCCAGGAGUGCGUGCUCUGUUCUAGUGUGCUGGUACCUUGUCAGAUAUCCAAGGGACUUUUGUGAAAAUAUCUCAUCCAUGCAGUGAAGUUUUUUUUAUUCAUCCAACUAAACAAAUCUGACAGGACCCACCUACAAUCAUUCUUUAAGUAAUCAGAAAGUUUUCUUCGCACACCAUACAUAUUUUGAUAAAAUGGCCACAGUUGUUUGUGAAAGGACAUCUAUUGGCAUUUAUUGUUUUAUUAGCUGAAUGCACUGUGUGUCUCUGACGACCUCACCCCCCCAUGUAAGAGCUGAGCUCUCCGUUUAACCUUCGAUCGCAUUUCUUUGUACAACAGGUACAGGUGCUGUGCAUGACCGAUAGUAGUUGUGCCAUGCUGCACAAAUAGUUGCCUUUGCUUUUUGUGCACGUGUGUCAGUAUUAUAAUAGCACUACGGAGGCAGUGCUUUUCCAGACCACUGUUGCGCAUAUGCAGUUCAGCGUCAUAACGAACAAUGAUAUAGCAAAUUAUCGGCUAUAACAAACCAAAUCUGAACUAUGGAUGGUCACGCUUCAUUUCAGAGAUCUUUUUGUUAUAAUGAAACAAACCCCACUUGUCAUACUUCCAUUGUCCCAUGUCUAGUGCUCUUAAUCAUGUACCAACCAGUGCAGAUAGGUGCACUACUGCACCAAUAAGCAGUGCAGACGCCGCAGAGCCUGAGAAGCUACUUGGACAAACUCCCGACAACCAAAACUGCGCAAGUAGAACAGGCCCUCUCGUGCAUGGACACUGU